rnacentral:snRNA from 1 species
GGCUUUGCCCAGUGGCAGUAUUGUAGCCCAGGUCUAUCUGAGGCACAAUUAUUGCUAUUUGAAAACUUUUCCCAAUACACCACCAUGACGACUUGAAUACAUGCUAAACCUACAAUUUAAUACCAGUAUCCCAAGACUGGAUUAGGU